UACGUAGGGUGCAAGCGUUGUCCGGAAUUAUUGGGCGUAAAGAGCUCGUAGGCGGUCUGUCGCGUCUGCUGUGAAAACUCAGGGCUUAACCCUGAGCUUGCAGUGGGUACGGGCAGACUAGAGUGCGGUAGGGGAGACUGGAAUUCCUGGUGUAGCGGUGAAAUGCGCAGAUAUCAGGAGGAACACCGGUGGCGAAGGCGGGUCUCUGGGCCGUAACUGACGCUGGAGGAGCGAAAGCAUGGGGAGCGAACCGG
rnacentral:rRNA from 1 species